AACUCAGCUCAAUUGGACGCUCAUUUUAUAUUUAAGAGACGAACUUUUUUCACCGAGAUACUUUUUUUCUUCUCUAGAUUUUAGGGACAUUUUAAACGACGCAGCGAUAAUUCUAAAAAAGUGAACAGUCCUCUUAAAUAUAUAUAUAUUUUAUUUAGCCUGCAAGAAAUCCCAGUUCAACAUCCCAGGACUGUUGGCUGAAUGUCAAGUUGACCUGCUCAAUGCUGAUAAAAGUAUUGACGAGAUAUUGAACGCCAAGGAGUUUAUUGGAGUAGAUACUGGAGCAUUUAAAAGAAACUGAACAUCUGGAUUUCAAGAUAUUAUCAUUAAUGUAAAAAUUAUGGAAAAUAUUGGAUAAAUAAAUAUGUAGAAACACAA